GUUACAAAAUGGCUUCCAGCGGUCAUUGUCCUCCUCAUUGCAUCGAUUAUUCUCAUUGUUCUGGUUUGGUAUUUUAAAUUUAGACGGACACAUUUGCAGCCAGCGCAGGUCCAAACCAUUGAAGAGGUUACACAACAGGAGCCAGC